ensembl:lncRNA
AAAAAACCCAACAUGAACUCUGACAUCGUGGCUACCCUCUCCUUACUCAUCAACUCCAGGUGUGACGCCAUUGAGAAAAUGGUAGGCGCGAACACCAUGGUUAUCGAAGGCUUGAAAAAGACUGGAGUUUGCAUGUGGUGAAAUUAAUGAUGUGAAAACGAGAGUGGCAAAAGUUGAAAAAAAUGUGGAAAGGGUGGAAAAGAAUAACAAUGUCUACCAUAGACGUCUCAAUGAUCUGGAACAAUACACAAGAAAAUGGAACCUGAGACUCUACGGCUUGCCAGAGGUGGAGAAGGAAGAUGUGCGAGGAGAGGCUAUCCGUAUCUGCCAAGAAGUUUUGCCUGCAGAGAAGAACAAAGUUGGUGAUACCAUCGACGUUGUACAUCGCCUCGGCAAGAAGCAACAGCAAAGCGAUUCAAGACCCAGGGGUAUCAUCAUCCUAUUCACUACCAGAUUCUACAGGGAUGCUGUCUGGAAAGCUGCUAGGAAGAACGCCUUCCUUCAGAGCCAUGGUAUGCGUUUCGCCGAGCAUCUCAGCCCGGAAGACAUAGAAAGAAGGAACAAGUUGUGGCCAACGAUCAAGAUAGCACGAAGUGAGGGGAAGGCUGCUUACUUCGUAGGAGGACGAGGUUUCAUCAACGGUUCAGAAAUCCAUAUUCCUCCCUAAAAUCUCACCAGAAGGAACAAGGUUGAUGGUUUCAAGCCAUGGUAUUCUCAUUUUCCUUAUGUGGUUUACCUAACAAGCAUCAGGUGACUAUUUUACAGGAAUACUCAGUUCCUGUUUUGACCUCUGCCUGCCCUCAGACUGCCUGCCGUUCUGUACCUUUUGGACUCUAAUCUGGAUUACUGACUUCUGCCUGCCCUUGACCUGUUGUUUUGCCUGCCCCUGUUCUAGUAAUACAGUUUUGUUACUUCGACACUGUCUGCAUCUGGGUCUUACAACAGGCCUACAUGCCCUCAGUCCAGCCUCUCUAAAAUCCCUGAGUGGUUGGUUGCCUUCCUCUCCAUCAACUGAGUUAGGAAGGACACUUGUAUCUUUGUAGUGACUGGGUGUAUUGAUACACCAUUCUCAAAGGGAUAUUCAAUAUCUGCUUUUUUAUUUAAAAAAAUAAAUAAUAAUUUAAAC